CUGUUUUACAUACGGGUUAGACGAGGCUCGAGGCCAAGGUCAAGUUGAAAGUUGCAGUCUAGCCACUGAG
rnacentral:sRNA from 1 species